rnacentral:rRNA from 1 species
AUCAAAUCGUACCCCAAACCGACACAGGUGGUCAGGUAGAGAAUACCAAGGCGCUUGAGAGAACUCGGGUGAAGGAACUAGGCAAAAUGGUGCCGUAACUUCGGGAGAAGGCACGCUGAUAUGUAGGUGAAGUCCCUCGCGGAUGGAGCUGAAAUCAGUCGAAGAUACCAGCUGGCUGCAACUGUUUAUUAAAAACACAGCACUGUGCAAACACGAAAGUGGACGUAUACGGUGUGACGCCUGCCCGGUGCCGGAAGGUUAAUUGAUGGGGUUAGCCGCAAGGCGAAGCUCUUGAUCGAAGCCCCGGUAAACGGCGGCCGUAACUAUAACGGUCCUAAGGUAGCGAAAUUCCUUGUCGGGUAAGUUCCGACCUGCACGAAUGGCGUAAUGAUGGCCAGGCUGUCUCCACCCGAGACUCAGUGAAAUUGAACUCGCUGUGAAGAUGCAGUGUACCCGCGGCAAGACGGAAAGACCCCGUGAACCUUUACUAUAGCUUGACACUGAACAUUGAGCCUUGAUGUGUAGGAUAGGUGGGAGGCUUAGAAGUGUGGACGCCAGUCUGCAUGGAGCCGACCUUGAAAUACCACCCUUUAAUGUUUGAUGUUCUAACGUUGACCCGUAAUCCGGGUUGCGGACAGUGUCUGGUGGGUAGUUUGACUGGGGCGGUCUCCUCCUAAAGAGUAACGGAGGAGCACGAAGGUUGGCUAAUCCUGGUCGGACAUCAGGAGGUUAGUGCAAUGGCAUAAGCCAGCUUGACUGCGAGCGUGACGGCGCGAGCAGGUGCGAAAGCAGGUCAUAGUGAUCCGGUGGUUCUGAAUGGAAGGGCCAUCGCUCAACGGAUAAAAGGUACUCCGGGGAUAACAGGCUGAUACCGCCCAAGAGUUCAUAUCGACGGCGGUGUUUGGCACCUCGAUGUCGGCUCAUCACAUCCUGGGGCUGAAGUAGGUCCCAAGGGUAUGGCUGUUCGCCAUUUAAAGUGGUACGCGAGCUGGGUUUAGAACGUCGUGAGACAGUUCGGUCCCUAUCUGCCGUGGGCGCUGGAGAACUGAGGGGGGCUGCUCCUAGUACGAGAGGACCGGAGUGGACGCAUCACUGGUGUUCGGGUUGUCAUGCCAAUGGCACUGCCCGGUAGCUAAAUGCGGAAGAGAUAAGUGCUGAAAGCAUCUAAGCACGAAACUUGCCCCGAGAUGAGUUCUCCCUGACUCCUUGAGAGUCCUGAAGGAACGUUGAAGACGACGACGUUGAUAGGCCGGGUGUGUAAGCGCAGCGAUGCGUUGAGCUAACCGGUACUAAUGAACCGUGAGGCUUAACCUUACAACGCCGAAGGUGUUU